GUGGGGAAUUUUGGACAAUGGGCGAAAGCCUGAUCCAGCCAUGCCGCGUGCAGGAUGAAGGCCUUCGGGUUGUAAACUGCUUUUGUACGGAACGAAAAGACUCCUUCUAAUAAAGGGGGUCCAUGACGGUACCGUAAGAAUAAGCACCGGCUAACUACGUGCCAGCAGCCGCGGUAAUACGUAGGGUGCAAGCGUUAAUCGGAAUUACUGGGCGUAAAGCGUGCGCAGGCGGUUAUAUAAGACAGAUGUGAAAUCCCCGGGCUCAACCUGGGAACUGCAUUUGUGACUGUAUAGCUAGAGUACGGUAGAGGGGGAUGGAAUUCCGCGUGUAGCAGUGAAAUGCGUAGAUAUGCGGAGGAACACCGAUGGCGAAGGCAAUCCCCUGGACCUGUACUGACGCUCAUGCGCGAAAGCGUGGGGAGCAAACAGGAUUAGAUACCCGGGUAGUCC
rnacentral:rRNA from 1 species